UUUUUUGAAAGAGCUAAGCGCCAAAGUGAAAACAAGCCCGACGCUGGACAACUUUAAAAUGUAUGUUCGUGUUGCCGGGUAUCAGCAGCUCUACAUUCUUUUUUGCCUCGGCGUCCUCUCACAAUUCAAGAUGAUACCUACCUGUGGGAGAAGUAUCACAAUACAGCAUGAUGGGAGCCUUCCAGCACAUUCCUUCUACUUGGGACCAAGGAUGACUUUGACAUCCAGAGAAAAUGCUACAAUGGAAAAAAGGAAACAUCUGUUGAAACCAGAAGGAGAAAUCUACACCCGCGAGUGCCAUUGGUUCCAUAAAGACACUGAGG